rnacentral:rRNA from 1 species
UACGUAGGCAGCGAGCGUUGUUCGGAGUUACUGGGCGUAAAGAGUGCGUAGGCGGUUUUCUAAGUUUGGUGUGAAAUCUCCCGGCUUAACUGGGAGGGUGCGCCGAAGACUGGAAGGCUUGAGUAUGGGAGAGGUAAGCGGAAUUCCUGGUGUAGCGGUGAAAUGCGUAGAUAUCAGGAGGAACACCUGCGGUGUAGACGGCCUACUGGACCAUGACUGACGCUGAGGCACGAAAGCGUGGGUAGCAAACAGG